AACGAACGCUGGCGGCAGGCUUAACACAUGCAAGUCGAACGCAUCCUUCGGGGUGAGUGGCAGACGGGUGAGUAACGCGUGGGAACGUGCCCUUCAGUUCGGGAUAACCCAGGGAAACUUGGGCUAAUACCGGAUACGUGCGAGAGCAGAAAGAUUUAUCGCUGAAGGAUCGGCCCGCGUCUGAUUAGCUAGUUGGUGGGGUAAUGGCCCACCAAGGCGACGAUCAGUAGCUGGUCUGAGAGGAUGAUCAGCCACAUUGGGACUGAGACACGGCCCAAACUCCUACGGGAGGCAGCAGUGGGGAAUAUUGGACAAUGGGCGCAAGCCUGAUCCAGCCAUGCCGCGUGAGUGAUGAAGGCCUUAGGGUUGUAAAGCUCUUUCGUCCGGGACGAUAAUGACGGUACCGGAAGAAGAAGCCCCGGCUAACUUCGUGCCAGCCGCCGUAACAC
rnacentral:rRNA from 1 species